rnacentral:rRNA from 1 species
CCAGACUCCUACGGGAGGCAGCAGUGGGGGAUAUUGCACAAUGGGGGGAACCCUGAUGCAGCGACGCCGCGUGGGCGAUGGAGUGCUUCGGCAUGUAAAGCCCUAUCAGCAGGGAAGAAAAUGACGGUACCUGACUAAGAAGCCCCGGCUAAAUACGUGCCAGCAGCCGCGGUAAUACGUAUGGGGCAAGCGUUAUCCGGAUUUACUGGGUGUAAAGGGAGCGUAGACGGCAUGGCAAGUCAGAUGUGAAAGCCCGGGGCUCAACCCCGGGACUGCAUUUGGAACUGUAAGGCUAGAGUGUCGGAGAGGCGGGCGGAAUUCCUAGUGUAGCGGUGAAAUGCGUAGAUAUUAGGAGGAACACCAGUGGCGAAGGCGGCCUGCUGGACGAUGACUGACGUUGAGGCUCGAAAGCGUGGGGAGCAAACAGGAUCAGAUACCCUUGUA